UACGUAGGGUGCAAGCGUUGUCCGGAAUUAUUGGGCGUAAAGAGCUCGUAGGCGGUUUGUCGCGUCGGCUGUGAAAGCCCGGAGCUCAACUCCGGGUCUGCAGUCGAUACGGGCAGACUUGAGUGUUGCAGGGGAGACUGGAAUUCCUGGUGUAGCGGUGAAAUGCGCAGGAUAUCAGGAGGAACACCGAUGGCGAAGGCAGGUCUCUGGGCCGAUGCUGACGUGAGGAGCGAAAGCGUGGGGAGCGAACAGG
rnacentral:rRNA from 1 species